GGAGGAGGUGGUGACUGCGCUGGUCUGUGGGAACCGCUCAGGCUGGGGCUGUCGGCCUCGGGCGGAUGCACUCCUGCGGGGUGGGUGGUGGGUAACUCGGGCCUACUUUCGGGUACCGCGCAACUCUCCCCGUCUAAAAGUUGGUUUUAAUUGGUUGCCCAUAGGAUUGACUUGGCCUCUACUUCUUGUUAAGAAAAUACAUCUCUUGUUUUAUCAGGUGUGUGUGGUUUCAGCGCAGCAUGGCUGUGGUCAUCCGUUUGCAAAGUCUUCCGAUUGUGGCCAGUACCAUGGACAUUCGCCGCUUCUUCUCUGGAUUGACCAUCCCUGAUGGGGGCGUACAUAUUGUAGGGGGUGAACUGGGUGAGGCUUUCAUCUUUUUUGUCACUGAUGAAAAUGCAAGGCUUGGUAUGAUGUGCACAGGUGGUACAAUAAAAGGGUCAAAAGUAACAUUAUUAUUGAGUAGUAAGAUGGAAAUGCAGAAUAUGAUUGAACUGAGCCGUAGACGUUUUGAAACUGCCAACUUAGAUAUGCCACCAGCUAAUGCUAGCAGAUCAGGACCACCGCCUAGCUCAGGAAUGAGUGGUAGAGUAAACUUGCCUACAGCAGUACCCAACUUUUGUAAUCUUUCACCCACUUUAGUAACUACUUCUGUUCUUGAAAGCAACAAAAACAUACAGACAUUUUCCACAGCCAGCGUAGGAACAGCCCCUCCAAAUAUGGGGACUUCUUUUGGGAGCCCAACAUUUAGCUCCACAAUUCUGAGCACAGCCUCUCCAAUGAACACAGUUCCACCACCACCAAUUCUGCCAAUCCAAGCUAUACCGUCUUUGCCACUGAUGCCAUUUAUUCCCCCUAAACCAGUUCCUCCUCCAGUACCUACAUCGCCUCCUGUGCCACCAAUUCCCCCAGUACCUUCUGUGCCACCCAUGACAACAUUGCCACCUAUGUCAGGCAUGCGACCCUUGAACCCACCACUUGUAACACCUCUGCCUGCUGGAAUGAAUGAGUCUGGGACACCUAUGAAUCUGAACAAUAACUGAACCCUGUGUUUCUGGGUCCUUUGAACUCUCAAAACAGUGUGAAGCCACUUUUCAUCAACCCUGAUGAUCCCUAUGUCAGUGUGCAUGGAAUGCCCUUUUCUGCAAUGGAGAAUGAUGUCAGAGAGAUUUUCCAUGGGCUCUAUGUUGAUGCAGCACAUUUGUUGAAAGAUCACGUAGGUCGAAAGAAUGGGAAUGGGUUAAUCAACUUUCUUUCACCUCAAGAUACACUUGAAACUUUGAAAAGAAACAGAAUGCUGAUGAUUCAGCGCUAUGUGGAAGUUAGCCCUGCCACAGAAAGACGGUGGGCAGCUUCUGGAGGCCAUAUAACUUUUAAGCAAAGUAUGGGACCUUCUGGGCAACCCCAUAUUCCUCCUCAGGUGCUUCCCAGGUCAAAAUCGCCCAGUGGGCAGAAAAGAUCAAGAUCACCACAGGAGACUGGUUUUUGUGUUUACUUGAAAGGGUUACCAUUUGAAGCAGAAAACAAGCAUGUCAUCGAUUUUUUUAAAAAGUUAGAUAUUAUGGAAGAUAGUAUUUAUAUAGCUUAUGGACCCAAUGGGAAAGCAACAGGUGAAGGCUUCGUAGAAUUCAGGAAUGAGGCUGACUACAAGGCUGCUCUGUCGCCAUAAACAAUACAUGGGCAAUCGAUUUAUUCAAGUUCACCCAAUUACUAAGAAAGGUAUGCUAGAAAAGAUAGAUAUGAUUAGAAAAAGACUGCAGAACUACAACUAUGACCAGAGAGAAAUAUUAAAUCCAGAAGGGGAUGUCAACUCUGCCAAAGUCUCUGCCCACACAACAAAUAUUCCAUUCAGUAUUACGAAGAUGGAUGUUCUUCAGUUCCUUGAGGAAAUCCCAGUGGAUGAAAAUGCUGUACAUGUUCUUGUUGAUAACAAUGGACAAGGUCUAGGACAGGCAUUGGUUCAAUUUAAGAAGAAAGAUGAUGCACAUAAGUCUGAACGCUUACACCGUAAAAAACUUAAUGGAAGAGAAGCUUUUGUGCAUAUAUUUACUCUAGAAGACACGAGAGAAAUUGAGAAAAAUCCUCCUGCUCAAGGCAAAAAAGGGACUAAAGAUGUCAGUGCCAGGUAAUCCUCCUGUUCCAGUAAUGCCCAAUGCCGGACUGCCUGCUGCAGGAAUGCCCGGUGCAGGAUUGCCAGCUUCAGGACUGCCUGGUGCCGGAAUGCCUGGUGCAGGAAUGCCUGGUGUGGGAAUGCCUGGUACGGGAAUGCCCGGUGCGGGAUUGCCUGGUGCGGGAUUGUCCAGUGCAGGAGGUGAAGAGCAUGCUUUCCUGGCUGUAGGCUCAAAGAAGGCCAACAGUGGACCUCCUUUUAACUUUCCUAGUAAUUUUGGUGGGUCGAACUUUGGACCACCACUCCCUCCUCCAGGAUUAGGAGGGGCCUUUGGUGAUGGUAGGCCUGGUAUGCCUUCAAUUGGAAACAGUGGUUUGCCUGCUCUAGGACUGGAUGUUCCAGGUUUUGGAAGUGGACCAAAUAAUUUAAAGGGGCCAUCAGGAUUUGGAAGGGGCCCUCAGAAUUUUGGAAAUGGUCCUGGUGCUUUAGGUGGCCCUCCUAACUUUGGAGGGGGCCCUCCUGGUCUUGGAAAUGCCCCAGGUCAUUUGAGUGGGCCACCAGCCUUUGGGCCUGGCCCUGGCCCUGGCCCUGGCCCAAUCCACAUUGGCUUUGGUUCUAGUUCUGGAAAACCAGGACCAACAGUCAUUAAAGUGCAGAAUAUGCCCUUUACUGUGUCUCUUGAUGAGACUUUAGAUUUCUUUUAUGGCUAUCAAGUAAUCCCAGGCUCAGUGUGUUUAAAUUACAAUGAAAAAUGUAUGCCCACAGGUGAAGCCAUGGUGGCCUUUGAGUCUCCAGAUGAAGCCACAGCUGCUGUCAUUGAUUUACAUGACAGGCCUAUAGGGUCAAGGAAAGUAAAACUUAUAUUAGGAUAGCUGUUCACGUAAAUACAUUGUAGGGUAGAUCUACCUAGUGCUGUGAUUAAUACAUCAAGAUUGUUUUCCUAGUAUUUCCAGGUUAGAACCUGGGGAUUGUUUUAAAUCACAAGUAGAUUGGUUUUCCUGUAACAUAUAGCAUUGGUUGACUGUUUACAGAAGACUCGUUACCAGAAUAAACAUUGCUCUAUGUUAUAAUUCUGAAAAGAACACAAAGAUGAUUUUGGCAUACCAUUAGAGAAACUAUUUGUGAAAUUCAAAUUACCAUAUAAAGCUUAUCAAGAAGACUAGAUUGGUGUUAUUUUAUACCAUAUGGGAUAAAGAAAUUGAAAUGUCCUUAGAGCUAAUUUAAAGGUGCUCUUACCUACUCUUGAAAUUUGGUUAAAUCUGGACAGAUUUCCUUUGUUACACGGUCAAAGCUUUGUCUAAAGUCCUCAUUUUCUUUCAAAUUGAAUAAAAUCUCUGUAUACAGA